rnacentral:rRNA from 1 species
AUUGAACGCUGGCGGCAUGCUUUACACAUGCAAGUCGAACGGUAACAGGCCGCAAGGUGCUGACGAGUGGCGAACGGGUGAGUAAUGCAUCGGAACGUGCCCAGUCGUGGGGGAUAACGCAGCGAAAGCUGCGCUAAUACCGCAUACGAUCUAUGGAUGAAAGCGGGGGACCGUAAGGCCUCGCGCGAUUGGAGCGGCCGAUGUCAGAUUAGGUAGUUGGUGGGGUAAAGGCUCACCAAGCCAACGAUCUGUAGCUGGUCUGAGAGGACGACCAGCCACACUGGGACUGAGACACGGCCGAGACUCCUACGGGAGGCAGCAGUGGGGAAUUUUGGACAAUGGGCGCAAGCCUGAUCCAGCAAUGCCGCGUGCAGGAAGAAGGCCUUCGGGUUGUAAACUGCUUUUGUACGGAACGAAAAGGCUCUGGAUAAUACCUGGGGCUCAUGACGGUACCGUAAGAAUAAGCACCGGCUAACUACGUGCCAGCCGCCGCCGUAAGAC